rnacentral:rRNA from 1 species
CCUACGGGGGGCUGCAGUGGGGAAUAUUGGACAAUGGGCGAAAGCCUGAUCCAGCCAUGCCGCGUGUGUGAAGAAGGCCUUCGGGUUGUAAAGCACUUUCAGUGGGGAAGAAAGCCUUGGGGCUAAUACCCUCGAGGAAGGACAUCACCCACAGAAGAAGCACCGGCUAACUCCGUGCCAGCAGCCGCGGUAAUACGGAGGGUGCGGGCGUUAAUCGGAAUUACGGGGCGUAAAGCGCGCGUAGGCGGUCUGAUAAGCCGGUUGUGAAAGCCCCGGGCUCAACCUGGGAACGGCAUCCGGAACUGUCAGGCUAGAGUGCAGGAGAGGAAGGUAGAAUUCCCGGUGUAGCGGUGAAAUGCGUAGAGAUCGGGAGGAAUACCAGUGGCGAAGGCGGCCUUCUGGACUGACACUGACGCUGAGGUGCGAAAGCGUGGGUAGCAAACAGGAUUAGAUACCCUGGUAGUC